rnacentral:rRNA from 1 species
GACGAACGCUGGCGGCGUGCCUAAUACAUGCAAGUAGAACGCUGAAGAGAGGAGCUUGCUCUUCUUGGCUGAGUUGCGAACGGGUGAGUAACGCGUAGGUAACCUGCCUGGUAGCGGGGGAUAACUAUUGGAAACGAUAGCUAAUACCGCAUAACAACAGUUGUUGCAUGACAGCUGUUUAAAAGAUGCAAUUGCAUCACUACCAGAUGGACCUGCGUUGUAUUAGCUAGUUGGUGAGGUAACGGCUCACCAAGGCGACGAUACAUAGCCGACCUGAGAGGGUGAUCGGCCACACUGGGACUGAGACACGGCCCAGACUCCUACGGGAGGCAGCAGUAGGGAAUCUUCGGCAAUGGGGGGAACCCUGACCGAGCAACGCCGCGUGAGUGAAGAAGGUUUUCGGAUCGGAAAGCUCUGUUGUAAGAGAAGAACGGGUGUGAGAGUGGAAAGUUCACACUGUGACGGUAUCUUACCAGAAAGGGACGGCUAACUACGUG